CCAAUCUAAAAGGGCGAGGAUUUCCGGCCUACUCUCGUGGAAAAUCGCAUUAUCAAGCCUGCGGUGGACAAAGACAAGAACCUGCUGCGGCUCUGUGUACUGAGGCAGAACAGAAAAAACAAGUUUAAAUACUAUGUGGAUCUGUCUGGAGAAGGAAAAGAAAUUGGAUGAAGGGUAAAAACAGA